rnacentral:tRNA from 1 species
GGUGGCUCAGUGGUAAAGCGCUUGUCUUGCAUGCCUGAGGCCCUGGGUUCGAUUCCCAGCACCA